UUCCUACGGGUGGCUGCAGUGGGGAAUAUUGGACAAUGGGCGAAAGCCUGAUCCAGCAAUGCCGCGUGAGUGAAGAAGGCCUUCGGGUUGUAAAGCUCUUUUACCCGGGAAGAUAAUGACUGUACCGGGAGAAUAAGCCCCGGCUAACUCCGUGCCAGCAGCCGCGGUAAUACGGAGGGGGCUAGCGUUGUUCGGAAUUACUGGGCGUAAAGCGCGCGUAGGCGGCUUUGCAAGUUAGAGGUGAAAGCCCGGGGCUCAACCCCGGAAUAGCCUUUAAGACUGCAUCGCUUGAACACGGGAGAGGUGAGUGGAAUUCCGAGUGUAGAGGUGAAAUUCGUAGAUAUUCGGAAGAACACCAGUGGCGAAGGCGGCUCACUGGACCGUUGUUGACGCUGAGGUGCGAAAGCGUGGGGAGCAAACAGGAUUAGAUACCCCUGUAGUC
rnacentral:rRNA from 1 species